UACGGGGGGCAAGCGUUGUUCGGAAUUACUGGGCGUAAAGGGCUCGUAGGCGGCCAACUAAGUCAUACGUGAAAUCCCUCGGCUUAACCGGGGAACUGCGUCUGAUACUGGAUGGCUUGAAGUUCGGGAGAGGGAUGCGAAGAUUCCAGGUGUAGCGGUGAAAUGCGUAGAUAUCUGGAGGAAUACCGGUGGCGAAGGCGGCAUCCUGGAC
rnacentral:rRNA from 1 species